rnacentral:rRNA from 1 species
UGAGGAAUCUUGCGCAAUGGGGGAAACCCUGACGCAGCAACGCCGCGUGAGUGAGGAAGGUCUUCGGAUUGUAAAGCUCUGUCAGGUGGAAAGAAGUGCAUGGCAGUAAAUAGCCGUCAUGUUUGACGGUACCACCAAAGGAAGCACCGGCUAACUCCGUGCCAGCAGCCGCGGUAAUACGGGGGGUGCAAGCGUUGUUCGGAAUCAUUGGGCGUAAAGAGCGUGUAGGCGGCGUAAUAAGUCAGAUGUGAAAUCCCCGGGCUCAACCCGGGAAGUGCAUUUGAUACUGUUAAGCUUGAGUAGGGGAGAGGGAAGUGGAAUUCCUGGUGUAGAGGUGAAAUUCGUAGAUAUCAGGAGGAACACCGGUGGCGAAGGCGACUUCCUGGCCCUAUACUGACGCUGAGACGCGAGAGCGUGGGUAGCAAACAGG